AUGUAUGUUUGCAUUUUUUCAAGCUUUAAAGGACUGGAUGCAUUAUGUUUAUAUGAGCUGGCUUGUCAUCUUCCAACAUUUAUCCAUCUUUUUACACCUCGGGAUCGACAGAAAAUUACAUUAAAGCUGCUUACAAGCACAAUUAAACCACAGUUUUCUCCAGAAGGAAGUAAUAGAAGACAAAAAGAAAGCAAAAUUUAUGCAAAAUAUGUGAAAUAUUUGAGAGAGGCUGCAAGUGGUAGACGUGGGGAUGUUACUCUUGCAAAAAUUCUUCGGUUUUGCACUGGAUCAGAAGAGGAACCACCACUUGGUUACCAGAUUCAGCCAACAAUGGAAUUUGUCGAAAGACAAUCAUUCCUGCCAACAGGAAAUACAUGCAUCAACAAAAUGCAAUUAACCAUACCUGUAAUGAGGAGCCAACAGAAGAUGCACUGUUCAACUUUUUUGACUUUGCGUUUUGCAAUUCGUACUUUGGUUACAAUGAUUAAGUGAGCUUUUCAGACCACGCAAUGUUGUCCGCCUGUUCAUGGCAACUUUUUAUACACACUCUCUGUAGGAGAGGGGGUAU
rnacentral:sRNA from 1 species